rnacentral:rRNA from 1 species
GAGCACGUAGGUGGGUUUGUAAGUCAGAUGUGAAAGCCUUCUGUUCAACGGAAGAAUUGCAUCUGAAACUGCGAGUCUUGAGUGUAGGAGGGGAGAAUGGAACUUCUGGUGGAGCGGUGAAAUGCGUAGAUAUCAGAAGGAACGCCGGCGGCGAAAGCGAUUCUCUGGCCUAUUACUGACACUCGGUGUGCGAAAGCUAGGGGAGCAAACGGGAUUAGAUACCCCGGUAGUCCUAGCCGUAAACGAUGGGCACUAAGUAGAGGGGUUUU